ensembl:snRNA U1 U1 spliceosomal RNA
AUGCCUUCCUGGGAGGGGAGAUGCCGUGACGGUGGAGACGUUUUCCCCAGGAUGAUGCUUAUUUAUUGCAUGCUGGGUGCGCCGAGCCCUGUGAUUUCCUAAAGUCAGGGAAACUCACCUAUAUAAUUGUGAUAAUGUGUUUGGGUUCACCCUUAAAAAAA